rnacentral:rRNA from 1 species
AGUCUGGUGCCAGCAGCCGCGGUAAUUCCAGCUCCAAUAGCGUAUAUUAAUGUUGCUGCGGUUAAAAAGCUCGUAGUUGGAUUUCUGACUUGGCGCACCUGGCCCGCCACGGUUACGUGUGUGAGUGCCGGGAUGCGCCUGUCACUUUUCUAGUAAACUAUUGUGCUCUUCAUUGAGUGUGAUAGGUAGCUAGAUAAUUUACUUUGAAAAAAUUAGAGUGUUUAAAGCAGGCGUUUGCUAUGAAUACAUUAGCAUGGAGUAAUAACUUAGGACUUCAGUUCUAUUUUGUUGGUUUCUAGGACUGAAGUAAUGAUUGAUAGGGAUAGUUGGGGGUGCUAGUAUUCAGCGGCCAGAGGUGAAAUUCUCGGAUUCGCUGAAGACUAACUUAUGCGAAAGCAUUCACCAAGGAUGUCUUCUUUAAUCAAGAACGAAAGUUGGGGGAUCGAAGACGAUCAGAUACCGUCGUAGUCUCAACCAUAAACUAUGCCGACUAGGGAUGAGUGAACGUUGCAUAAUCGACUUCAUUCGCACCUUAUGAGAAAUCAAAGUCCUUGGGUUCCGGGGGGAGUAUGGUCGCAAGGCUGAAACUUAAAGGAAUUGACGGAAGGGCACCACCAGGAGUGGAGCCUGCGGCUUAAUUUGACCCAACACGGGGAAACUUACCAGGUCCAGACUCAGUGAGGAUUGACAGAUUGAAGAUCUUUCUUGAUUUUGAGGGUGGUGGUGCAUGGCCGUUCUUAGUUGGUGGAGCGAUUUGUCUGGUUUAUUCCGUUAACGAACGAGACCACGACCUGCUAAAUAGUUUAAGUUAGGGUUCGCUCUAGCUGUUGUGACUUCUUAGAGGGACUAUCGGUGUGUAGCCGAUGGAAGUUCGUGGCAAUAACAGGUCUGUGAUGCCCUUCGAUGUUCUGGGCCGCACGCGCGCUACACUGAUGCAUUCAUCGAGCUACAACCUUGUCUGAGAGGACUGGGUAAUCUUUGAAAAUGCAUCGUGCUGGGGAUAGAUUAUUGUAAUUAUUAAUCUUCAACGAGGAAUUCCUAGUAAACGCGUGUCAUCAACACGCAUUGAUUACGUCCCUGCCCUUUGUACACACCGCCCGUCGCUACUACCGAUUGAAUGAAUUAGUGAGCUCCAGAGAUCGAGCUGUUUCGGGCAACCGGGGCAGUUUGAGAACUGGAUCAAACUUGCUCAUUUAGAGGAAGUAAAAGUCAUA